rnacentral:ncRNA from 1 species
UAUGUUAUAAAAAUAAUAAGUGAGACUAUUGGGGAGAAUCUCAAGAGUCUAAAGGGAAACAACCCACAUCAUAAGGUAAGGUUUUUAAAAAGUAUUUAAAAACAAAAAGAAAUUUAAUUUCGAUUAUAUUUAGGAGGUUAGCUUAGAAGCAGUUAUCCUUUAAAGAGUGCGUAAUAGCUCGCUAAAUUAGAAAUUAUGUACUAAAAAUAGAAGAAGAAAAAUACUUUACCGAAGCUAUGAGAUUUAUAUUUAAAUCGAUAGAGGAGCGUUCUAUAUAUUUAAAAAGUAAAAAUGUAAAUUUUUAUUUAAAAAAAUAGAAGUGAGAAUGUCAGCUUGAGUAGCAUAAAUAUUAGUAAAAUCUAAUACUCCGAAAGCUAAAAGGUUUUCUAUGAAAGGAUAUACCACGUAGGUAAAGUCGGGGGCUAAGACUAGAUUUAAUAUGUAGUCGAUGAAUAAAAGGGUUAAAUUUCCUUUACCAUAAUAUAUAAUUUAAACAAAUAGUGACCUAUAAUUUUUUAUAUAUUUAAUUUAUAUAUAGUUUAUAAUAUACUAAAGAAAUAUAGCUAGAAAAAUGUAUAUGUUAUAUAUAUNUAUAUAUAUUAUGCCUGUACCAAAACUGACACAAGUAAGCAAGUAUAACUAUACUAAGGAGUACGAAAUAACUUUCUCUAAGGAACUCGGCAAAAUAAUCCUGUAACUUCGGGAGAAAGGAUGCCCAAAGGGCUGCAAUGAAAAGAUCCAAGCGACUGUUUAUCAAAAACACAAGUCUCCGCUAAAUUUGAUUAUAAUGUAAGGGGGCUGACACCUGCCCAGUGCUGGUAAGUUAAAAAAANAAAAAAAUAUUUUUAAUAUAAGUAUUUUUAUAAGCUCCAGUAAACGGCGGCUGUAACUAUAACGGUCCAAAGGUAGCGAAAUUCCUUGUCGGGUAAGUUCCGACCCGCACGAAAGGUGUAACGACUUGGAUGCUGUCUUGGAGAAAGAUUCGGUGAAAUAGGAAUGUCUGUGAAGAUACGGACUAUCUACAUUUGGACAGAAAGACCCUAUGAAGCUUUACUAUAUUUUGAAAUUAAAAAUAAAAUAUAUUUGUGUAGAAUAAGUGGGAAACUAAUUAUUUUGUUUAUCUUGAAAUACCACUCUUAUAUAUUUUAUUUUUUUAUUAUAAUAUUGUUAACCAAUUAUAAAAAAAUUUCAAAAAGAUAGUUUGACUGGGGCGGUAGCCUCCUAAAUAGCAACGGAGGUGUACAAAGGUCUUUUUUUAAUUUAAAAAAUUUUUUAAAUUAAAACUAUAAAGGGGAUAAAAGGCUUGAUUGUAAGAGUUACUACUCGAGCAAGGACAAAAGUCGGUCUUAAUGAUCCGAUAGUUCUUAGUGGAAAGGCUAUCGCUUAACGAAUAAAAGUUACUCUAGGGAUAACAGGCUGAUCUCCCCCGAAAGUUCCUAUUGACGGGGAGGGUUGGCACCUCGAUGUCGGCUCGUCGCAUCCUGAGGCUGAAGUAGGUCUCAAGGGUUGGUCUGUUCGCCCAUUAAAGCGGCACGUGAGCUGGGUUCAGAACGUCGUGAGACAGUUCGGUCCAUAUCCAAUGUAGACACAAGAACAUUGAAAAGUUUUUCUUUUAGUACGAGAGGACCAAAGAAAUUAAACCUAUGGUGUAUUAGUUAUUUUUCUAAAAGUAUUUGCUAAGUAGCCAAGUUUAAUAAAUAUUAUUCACUGAAGUCAUAUAAGUGAUAAAAAUACUUUAAGAUAAAUGUUCUUAUCUAUUUAAGAAUAAGAAAACAAAGAAAUAAUUUGAUAAAUAGAAAAAAUGUAUAAGAUUAGUAAUAAUUUUAGCAUUUUUUACUAAAAAUUCGAUGAUAUAUUUUU